AAACAUCGCCUCUUGUCAAUUACACAUAAGAGGUCCCGCCUGCCCUGUGACCCCUAGUUCAACGGCCGCGGUAUUUUGACCGUGCAAAGGUAGCGCAAUCACUUGUCUCUUAAAUGAGGACCUGUAUGAAUGGCAUAACGAGGGCUUAACUGUCUCCUUUCCCCGGUCAAUGAAAUUGAUCUUCCCGUGCAGAAGCGGGAAUCCUAACAUAAGACGAGAAGACCCUAUGGAGCUUUAGACUUCAGAGCAGAUCAUGUAAUCUACCUCCAUAAAAUAAGUAAUAACUAUUGAAUACUGUUCCACCUGUCUUCGGUUGGGGCGACCACGGGGAAUAAAAAAUCCCCCAUGUGGACCAGGAGCACAUACUCCUACAACCAUGAGCCACAGCUCUAAUGCACAAAACAUUUGACCAUUAGAUCCGGCAAAGCCGAUUAACGGACCAAGUUACCCUAGGGAUAACAGCGCAAUCCCCUUUAAGAGUUCAUAUCGACAAGGGGGUUUACGACCUCGAUGUUGGAUCAAGACAUCCUAAUGGUGCAGCCGCUAUUAAGGGUUCGUUUGUUCAACGAUUAAAGUCUUACAUGAUCUGAGUUCAGACCGGCCGCCUGUUUAUCAAAAACAUGAUCUGAGUUCAGACCGG
rnacentral:rRNA from 1 species